AGGUAGAGCCAUGCUACCCUGAACAAGCCUGAUCCCGUCUGAUCUCGGAAGCUAAGUAGGGUCAGGCCUGGUUAGUACUUGGAUGGAAGACCACCUAGGAAGACUAGGUACUGUAGGUG
rnacentral:rRNA from 1 species